rnacentral:misc_RNA from 1 species
AAAGUCGUAACAAGGUUUCCGUAGGUGAACCUGCGGAAGGAUCAUUAAAAAGUUUAAGGGCCCCGGGGGGCCGUCUAAUAAAAUCCCGUAAGCCAGAAGGCACCACCCCCCAAGUCAAAUUGGGUGUUGGUUGCCGGAACGGUGAACCCUUUGUGAAAACCCUUGUUGCUUCGGCAGCACCUCCCUCGAAAAGCCUCACGGUUUUCCUUUGGGGGGGUCAGCCUGCCGGCGGCACAAAAGUUAAAACCCUUUUUUAUGCGAAAGCAGUUUUUAAAAAAACGUCUGAGAACGCAGUCGAAUGACACUUAAAACUUUCAACAACGGAUCUCUUGGUUCCC